UAGAGCAUAGCUCAGUGGUAGAGUGCACGCUUAGCAUGCACGAGGUCCUGGGUUCAAUCCCCAGUACUUCAU
rnacentral:tRNA from 1 species